rnacentral:rRNA from 1 species
CUACGGGAGAAAGCAGGGGACCUUCGGGCCUUGCGCUCUCAGAUGAGCCUAGGCGGAUUAGCUAGUCGUUGAGAAAUGGUCACCAAGGCGACGAUCCGUAACUGGUCUGAGAGGAUGAUCAGUCACACUGGAACUGAGACACGGUCCAGACUCCUACGGGAGGCAGCAGUGGGGAAUAUUGGACAAUGGGCGAAAGCCUGAUCCAGCCAUGCCGCGUGUGUGAAGAAGGUCUUCGGAUUGUAAAGCACUUUAAGUUGGGAGGAAGGGCAGUAAGCUAAUACCUUGCUGUUUUGACGUUACCGACAGAAUAAGCACCGGCUAACUCUGUGCCAGCAGCCGCGGUAAUACAGAGGGUGCAAGCGUUAAUCGGAAUUACUGGGCGUAUAGCGCGCGUAGGUGGUUUGUUAAGUUGGAUGUGAAAGCCCCGGGCUCAACCUGGGAACUGCAUCCAAAACUGGCAAGCUAGAGUACGGUAGAGGGUGGUGGAAUUUCCUGUGUAGCGGUGAAAUGCGUAGAUAUAGGAAGGAACACCAGUGAAUCCACCCCCCAA